CUUCUCUUUAUAAACUCAACUUGUCUCCUUCCAAGAGAUACAGGACCUCCAGACUGAACUUGCAGACUGAACUUGGGUACCAAGGCUUCUAGAACUUUUUAAUUUAUAGAUAGAUAACAAUUUACGGAACUGCCAAGGCCUUCCAGGAAGUCUGAAUUCUACUCUCCUGGCUACAGAUUUACUAACCGUCUAUUCCUCUUCCUUAUUCAUCCCCCUAACCACAUCUCUCCUACCUUUAAAAUUUCAUCAGUACUCUUCUCAGUUUUUGCAUAAAACUGUAUCCUUUACUCCUAUCUAGUUAAACUUUGCUGUUUGAUAAACAAGUUAUUAUUUCUUCCCAAGAUGGCUACUCUCAAAAAACAGAAAAUAACAAGCAUUGGUGAGGAUGUGGAGAUAUUGCAAAGAAACCCUUGAGCACUGCUGAU
rnacentral:lncRNA from 1 species